GCCAGUGUGGCAUAGUGGUUUGCGCAUUGAAAUAGGACUCUGGAGACCAGGGUUUGAUUCUCUGCUCGGACA